GCUUCUUAACCUUUAGGCCAACAUUAGCGGAGUUUAUUUCAAAUCAUGGUGAUGUAUGAUCCUCGACGCAGAUCUUCCAGAAGAUGUGUGAGGGUGUGGAGACUACAACUCUAGGCCCAGGGUGUGGGGCUUACCUAAGGGAGAUGCCAAGUAAUCUAACAGCACCUACAUGUAUGAUAAACUACAUGUGGGUACACCAUCCAGGAAUGAAGCAACUCCACUCCCACUUGUCUCCAAUUCCACAUACCAACCCUCAGCUUCCCUCAG
rnacentral:lncRNA from 1 species